rnacentral:rRNA from 1 species
UACGUAGGGUGCGAGCGUUAAUCGGAUUUACUGGGCGUAAAGGGUGCGCAGGCGGUUCUGUAAGACCGGUGUGAAAUCCCCGGGCUCAACCUGGGAAUUGCGCUGGUGACUGCAGGGCUAGAGUACGGUAGAGGGGGGUGGAAUUCCUGGUGUAGCAGUGAAAUGCGUAGAGAUCAGGAGGAACACCGAUGGCGAAGGCAGCCCCCUGGGCCUGUACUGACGCUCAUGCACGAAAGCGUGGGGAGCAAACAGG